AGGUAAGCUUGCUUUUCCGCUGACGAGUGGCGCACGGGUGCGUAACGCGUAUACAAUCUGCCUCUUACAGGGGGAUAGCCUUUGGAAACGAAGAAUAAUACCCCAUGGUAUCCCGACCCCGCAUGGGCGUCGGGAUUAAAGAUUUAUCGGUAAGAGAUGAGUAUGCGUCCUAUUAGCUAGAUGGUGUGGUAACGGCACACCAUGGCCACGAUAGGUAGGGGCCCUGAGAGGGGGAUCCCCCACACUGGUACUGAGACACGGACCAGACUCCUACGGGAGGCAGCAGUGAGGAAUAUUGGACAAUGGGCGGAAGCCUGAUCCAGCCAUGCCGCGUGCAGGAAGACUGCCCUAUGGGUUGUAAACUGCUUUUGUACGGGAAGAAACCCACCUACGAGUAGGUGGCUGACGGUACCGUAAGAAUAAGCAUCGGCUAACUCCGUGCCAGCAGCCGCGGUAAUACGGAGGAUGCAAGCGUUAUCCGGAAUCAUUGGGUUUAAAGGGUCCGUAGGUGGAUCGGUCAGUCAGAGGUGAAAUCCUGCAGCUCAACUGUAGAACUGCCUUUGAUACUGCCGGUCUUGAAUUAUCGUGAAGUGGUUAGAAUAUGUAGUGUAGCGGUGAAAUGCAUAGAUAUUACAUAGAAUACCGAUUGCGAAGGCAGAUCACUAACGAUAUAUUGACACUGAUGGACGAAAGCGUGGGGAGCGAACGGGAUUAGAUACCCCGGUAGUCCACGCCGUAAACGAUGGUCACUAGCUGUUCGGACUUCGGUCUGAGUGGCUAAGCGAAAGUGAUAAGUGACCCACCUGGGGAGUACGUUCGCAAGAAUGAAACUCAAGGAAUUGACGGGGGCCCGCACAAGCGGUGGAGCAUGUGGUUUAUUCGAUGAUACGCGAGGAGCUUACCAGGGCUUAAAUGUAGAGUGACAGGUCUAGAGAUAGAUUUUACUUCGGACACUUUUAC
rnacentral:rRNA from 1 species